ACGAAGAUUAAUACCCUAUAGUAAGUAUUUAUGGCAUCAUUUAUACUUUAAAGGUUACGGUACAAGAUGACUAUGCGUCCUAUUAGUUUGUUGGUGAGGUAACGGCUCACCAAGACUUCGAUAGGUAGGGGCCCUGAGAGGGGGAUCCCCCACACUGGUACUGAGACACGGACCAGACUCCUACGGGAGGCAGCAGUGAGGAAUAUUGGACAAUGGAGGCAACUCUGAUCCAGCCAUGCCGCGUGCAGGAUGACGGCCCUAUGGGUUGUAAAC
rnacentral:rRNA from 1 species